rnacentral:rRNA from 1 species
UCUAAGGUUUUUGGAGGAAGGUUCGUCCGCUCCAAGUAAGUCGGGAGCUAAGGUGAGGCCGAAAGGCGUAGCCGAUGCACAUACGGUUGAAAUUCCGUAACCACCAAAAGAUUUAAACAAAAUGACACCCAGAAAGGGCAUGACCCGGGCGUUGGUAGACCCGGGCGUAAGGGACCGAAAAUAAAGUAGGGAAGCAUGGCUGGACUGGGGCGAGAAAAGUUUUGUGAAUAUCUGAGGUGCCCGUACCGCAAACCGACACAGGUAGAUAGGAAGAGAAUUCUAAGGCCAACGGGAGAAGGGUAGUUAAGGAACUCGGCAAAAUGACCCCGUAACUUCGGGAGAAGGGGUGCCUAACGAAAGUUAGGCCGCAGAGAAUAGGCCCAGGCGACUGUUUAGCAAAAACACAGGUCUCUGCAAAAUCGAAAGAUGACGUAUAGGGGCUGACACCUGCCCGGUGCUGGAAGGUUAAGAGGACGUGUGCAAGCACAGAAUUGAAGCCCCAGUAAACGGCGGCCGUAACUAUAACGGUCCUAAGGUAGCGAAAUUCCUUGUCGGGUAAGUUCCGACCCGCACGAAUGGUGUAACGAUCUGGGCACUGUCUCAACUACCCACCCGGCGAAAUUGUAGUACCGGUGAAGAUGCCGGUUACCUGCGGCAAGACGGAAAGACCCCAUGGAGCUUCACUGUAGCUUGAUAUUGGGUUUCGAUAAUUUAUGUACAGGAUAGGUGGGAGACUAGGAAAUCACGGCGCCAGCUGUGAUGGAGUCAACCUUGGGAUACCACCCUUAAAUUAUUGGAAUUCUAACCUGCAGCCAUGAAACUGGCUGGGGGACAUUGUCAGGUGGGCAGUUUGACUGGGGCGGUCGCCUCCUAAAGAGUAACGGAGGCGCCCAAAGGUUUCCUCAGCGCGGACAGAAAUCGCGCGAAAGAGUGCAAAGGCAGAAGGAAGCUUAACUGAGAGAGAGACAUCUCGAGCAGAUACGAAAGUAGGUCUUAGUGAUCCGGCGGUAGUGAGUGGAAAUGCCGUCGCUCAACGGACAAAAGUUACCCUGGGGAUAACAGGCUUAUCUCCCCCAAGAGUUCACAUCGACGGGGAGGUUUGGCACCUCGAUGUCGGCUCAUCACAUCCUGGAGCGGAAGUACGUUCCAAGGGUUGGGCUGUUCGCCCAUUAAAGUGGUACGCGAGCUGGGUUCAGAACGUCGUGAGACAGUUCGGUCCUUAUCUGUCGCAGGCGGAGGAUAUUUGAGGGGAGUUGGCCCUAGUACGAGAGGACCAGGCUGAACAUACCGAUGGUACACCAGUUGUCUCACCAGAGGCACAGCUGGGAAGCUAAGUAUGGAAGGGAUAAACGCUGAAAGCAUCUAAGUGUGAAGCCCACCUCAAGAUGAGAUUUCCCAUGAUUUUAUAUCAGUAAGAGCCCUGAGAGAUGAUCAGGUUGAUAGGUUAGAAGUGGAAGUGUGGUGACACAUGUAGCGGACUAAUACUAAUAGCUCGAGGACUUAUCCAA